rnacentral:rRNA from 1 species
AAUAUUGCGCAAUGGGGGAAACCCUGACGCAGCAACGCCGCGUGAAGGAUGAAGGUUUUCGGAUCGUAAACUUCUUUGAUUGGGGACGAAUAAUGACGGUACCCAAAAAACAAGCCACGGCUAACUACGUGCCAGCAGCCGCGGUAAUACGUAGGUGGCGAGCGUUGUCCGGAAUUACUGGGUGUAAAGGGCGUGUAGGCGGGAAAGCAAGUCAGAUGUGAAAUACCGUGGCUUAACUCCGGAGCUGCAUCUGAAACUGGGGAUCUUGAGUGCUGGAGGGGAAAGUGGAAUUCCUAGUGUAGCGGUGAAAUGCGUAGAGAUUAGGAGGAACACCAGUGGCGAAGGCGGCUUUCUGGACAGUAACUGACGCUGAGGCGCGAAAGCGUGGGGAGCAAACAGG